rnacentral:rRNA from 1 species
AUAAGGGUGAGUUUGGUGAUGGCUCUGAUUGAACGCUGUCGAAGGGCUUGACACAUGCUAAUCGAACGUUUAAUAAAAUAAACUAGGCUAUUAGAGAUCUUCGGGUUUUUAAGAGCUUGUAUUUAUUUAUUAUUAAAAGUGGUGUACAGGUGAGUAUAGAUACCCAGCCGGCCUUAAAGAGAGGGAUAAAUCCCUCAUAACGAAAGGUGAAAUAAUCACCGCUUUAAGAGGACUUAAGGAAGUAUCGUCGGGAUGGGUUGUUGUUAAGGUUACUUCUUAACAAGCUUUUAAUUCUCGUAGUCGAAGCUGAAAGGUUGAUCGACCACAUUGGGACUGAAAAAACCCCAAGGCAAUGUUGUACAGCAGUGAGGAAUUUUGGUCAAUGGCCUAACGGCUGAACUGGCAACUUCGGAGAACGAAGACUAGUUAUAGUUAAACUUUAACUAUAACUUUUCUAUAAAUUGACUUAUCAAAUAAAGUUCUAAGUGUAUAUUGAUAAUGACGGUAUGCAUAUUGUGGCUUGACUAAUUACGUGCCAGCAGUCGCGGUAAUACGUAAGAGCCUAGUGUUAUUCAUCUUAAAUAGGUUUAAAGGGUACUUAGACGGUAGUAAAUGACUUAAAAUAAGAGUACAUCUCUACUAGAGUUUGAUAUGGGGAGGUCGUACCUGGGGUGAAGAGUUAAUAUUUGGUAAUACCCUGGGGACUGGUAAAGGCGAAGGCAACCUCUUAUGUAAAAACUGACGUUAAAGGACGAAGGCACAGAUAACGAAAAGGAUUAGAUACCCUAGUAGUCUUUGCAGAGAAUGAUGAAUGCCAUAGAUUAGGUAUAUUUACUUGGUUUAUAAAUGAAAGUGUAAGCAUUUCACCUCAAGAGUAAUGCGGCAACGCAGGAACUGAAAUCACUAGACCGUUUCUGACCCCAGCAGUGAAGUAUGUUAUUUAAUUCGGUGAUCCACGAAAAACCUUACCACAAUUUGAAUGUUAUUCUAUAGCGGACUAUCGUGAUCGAAAAAAGCAAUAGUUCGUGCUGAAUAAUACAAGUGUUGCACGGCUGUUUACAGUUAAUGUUAUGAAACUGCGGUUCCGACCGUGUAAUUAAUGAAUACCCUGGCUUUAUUUAUUAAAAGGUGAUUUUUCUCCAACAUAAAAUAAAGCAUUUCAUACGCCUUAUAAUAGUAUGAACAAAAGGGAAUAAGACAAGUCAUCAUGGCCUUAAUAUUGUGGGCUAUAGACGUGCCACAAUUCUCCUACACAAAGAGAAGCAAAAAUGCGAAUUUAAGCUAAUCUCAAAAAAUAGGAUAUAAUUAGGAAUGGAUUGUAGUCUGAAAUUCGGCUGCAUGAAUAAGAAAUUGCUAGUAAUCGUGAAUCACCAUGUCACGGUGAAUCUAACUUCGGAUUGGUACUAACCACUCGUCGCAUGCUGAAAGGAGUUAGCGCAAUAAGUUUGCUUUUCUAUUGUAAGUACUUAAUAAUAGGAUUUAGAUCUUAUAGUAGAAUUCUUCGUAUGCGCGAUUCUAAUUGGUGUUAAGUCGAAAUACGGUUCGUGUAGUGGAAGUUGCACGGGAUACAUAAAAUUA